GGUUCUUUCUCUACCACGCACAGAAAGUGCUAGAGUUCUCUUCUUCUCCAUAGAUGACGAACGCCUAAGAGAUAAUUACCUCAUAGCUAUAGGAACUUGUAGAGCUUAGGAAAAAAAUAGUCACUAGACAGGUUACCGAGACAUUUGGGAUCUUUUCAGAGGGCCCAAAGUAAUUUUUUGUAGAUCUGUAGAGUUCAGUGAAGAAUAAGAGGGUUGGGAAGAAAGACGUAGAUUAUUGCUUGAGGAGCAGCUAGCUAACUAGGUGUAAGGGAAGUGUUUAAGAGAAACAGUGAAUUUAGAGACUUCUGCGAGUAGUGGAUUCAAAAACUUCUCCUAGGAAUAUGUUAGGUUUUCAUUAGUUUCUGGAUCGUCUUAGGAAGCAUAAGAAUUCCAAAUGGAAACUGAAACCAAACUAAUAAAACCUUUCUUGAAAAGAA